AUACGUAGGGGGCGAGCGUUGUCCGGAUUUACUGGGCGUAAAGGGUGAGUAGGCGGUUAUAUGUGCCAGAUGUAAAAGGCUAUGGCUUAACCAUAGUUAGCAUUUGAAACUGUAUGACUUGAGUGCAGGAGAGGUAAGUGGAAUUCCUAGUGUAGCGGUGAAAUGCGUAGAUAUUAGGAGGAACACCAGUGGCGAAGGCGACUUACUGGACUGUAACUGACGCUGAGUCACGAAAGCGUGGGUAGCAAACAGGAUUAGAUACCCUGGUAGUCCACGCUGUAAACGAUGAGUGCUAGGUGUUGGCCAGCGAUGGUCAGUGCCGCAGUAAACACAUUAAGCACUCCGCCUGGGGAGUACGGUCGCAAGACUGAAACUCAAAUGAAUUGACGGGG
rnacentral:rRNA from 1 species